AUUGGGACUGAGAUACGGCCCAGACUCCUACGGGAGGCAGCAGUGGGGAAUAUUGCACAAUGGGCGGAAGCCUGAUGCAGCGACGCCGCGUGGGGGAUGAAGGCCUUCGGGUUGUAAACUCCUUUCGACAGGGACGAAGCGUAAGUGACGGUACCUGUAUAAGAAGCACCGGCUAACUACGUGCCAGCAGCCGCGGUAAUACGUAGGGUGCGAGCGUUGUCCGGAAUUACUGGGCGUAAAGAGCUCGUAGGUGGUUUGUCGCGUCGUCUGUGAAAUUCCGGGGCUUAACUCCGGGCGUGCAGGCGAUACGGGCUGACUUGAGUGCUGUAGGGGAGACUGGAAUUCCUGGUGUAGCGGUGAAAUGCGCAGAUAUCAGGAGGAACACCGAUGGCGAAGGCAGGUCUCUGGGCAGUAACUGACGCUGAGGAGCGAAAGCAUGGGUAGCGAACAGGAUUAGAUACCCUGGUAGUCCAUGCCGUAAACGGUGGGCGCUAGGUGUAGGGGGCUUCCACGUCUUCUGUGCCGUAGCUAACGCAUUAAGCGCCCCGCCUGGGGAGUACGGCCGCAAGGCUAAAACUCAAAGGAAUUGACGGGGGCCCGCACAAGCGGCGGAGCAUGUGGAUUAAUUCGAUGCAACGCGAAGAACCUUACCUG
rnacentral:rRNA from 1 species